GAAUGAGAGGGCAAUCUGGUUGCAACAUCUGCCACCCACUGAUUACCAGGGUUGAUUAAGCUGAUAUGGCUGGCUUGGUGGGUAUCCCCUUCCUCCUUCACCACUCCGUGUGCCUCCUUCCCGAAGCUGCAUACUCGGUGGAAGAGGACGACAUCCCAGAUUUAGCAGGAGUGUACCAAAAUCUCCAGUCUUCACUCCUGGGCAUAUGAUAUCUGCGCUUACCCUGCUAGAACCCUCCAAACAAGCUCAAGGUCCAAUCUCCUGAUACUGUAACAUGGAACCAUGGCAGUCAAAGUAUUAUCACACUAGUAUGGCUACAGUGUAUGUAU
rnacentral:snRNA from 1 species